rnacentral:rRNA from 1 species
GAUGAACGCUGGCGGCGUGCCUAAUACAUGCAAGUCGAGCGAACAGACGAGGAGCUUGCUCCUCUGACGUUAGCGGCGGACGGGUGAGUAACACGUGGAUAACCUACCUAUAAGACUGGGAUAACUUCGGGAAACCGGAGCUAAUACCGGAUAAUAUAUUGAACCGCAUGGUUCAAUAGUGAAAGACGGUUUUGCUGUCACUUAUAGAUGGAUCCGCGCCGCAUUAGCUAGUUGGUAAGGUAACGGCUUACCAAGGCAACGAUGCGUAGCCGACCUGAGAGGGUGAUCGGCCAAACUGGAACUGAGACACGGUCCAGACUCCUACGGGAGGCAGCAGUAGGGAAUCUUCCGCAAGGGGCGAAAGCCUGACGGAGCAACGCCGCGUGAGUGAUGAAGGUCUUCGGAUCGUAAAACUCUGUUAUUAGGGAAGAACAAAUGUGUAAGUAACUAUGCACGUCUUGACGGUACCUAAUCAGAAAGCCACGGCUAACUACGU